UAUCUCUGUAGAGUCUGCAUAUCAAUAAGCGGAGGAAAAGAAACUAACUAAGGAUUCCCUCAGUAACGGCGAGUGAAGCGGGAAGAGCUCAAAUUUGAAAUCUUCAAGGGUUCUACCUUUACGAAUUGUAGUUUAAAGAAGUGUUUUCUGUUGAGGUUUUGGUAAAAGUUCUUUGGAAUAGGACAUCAUAGAGGGUGAGAAUCCCGUAUUUGACCAUUAUUUCCAGCUUUGUGAUACACUUUCAAAGAGUCGGAUUGUUUGGGAAUGCAGUCCAAAAUGGGUGGUAAAUUUCAUCUAAAGCUAAAUAUUGGCGAGAGACCGAUAGCGAACAAGUACCGUGAGGGAAAGAUGAAAAGAACUUUGAAAAGAGAGUUAAACAGUACGUGAAAUUGUCAAAAGGGAAGCGUUUGACACCAGUGUUGUUUUCUCGAAAAUCAAUUAAAAAAGGCAGGAUUUUGUGUUGUAUUGACUUUAUCAGCUUUCUGCACUCUUUUCUUGUCUUUUUUAAUGCACUUUUCGUUUAACAAGUCAACAUCAAUUUCUUUUGUUGUAAAAGGGUCAUUGGAAGGUGGCUUUCUUUUCGGAGAAAGUGUUUAUAGCCUUUGGCCUCUGCAAUCGGAGAGAUUGAGGUCUGCAGCGUAGAUCCUUCGGGGCUAGAUACGUAGAUGCUAAGUUAUAGUUUUUUAUAGACAACUUGUUGACUAUAAUUAAUCAUGUAGCUUACUCGUUUGCGCUAUUUUACCUACGCUUAGGAUGUUGACGAUCAGCUGAGCGCG
rnacentral:rRNA from 1 species